AGGCGAUGUAGGUCACUGAGGUUUCACACAAAACUAGACGAUAAUCCACCGUAAAUACGACAAAUUGCGACGUUGUUGAUGUAGAAGACAUGUAUUGGUUUCUCUCCAUUCACCAAGAUGUUCUCACCUGUACACACAUCUGUAUCUCAGUAUUAAGAACAUCCUCACUGAAUUUGAGCUGCUGCUGAGUUUACAGGCACAAUGGAGGAGUCAUGUACAGGACCAUAAAACCAUCACUCUAUGGGCUCGGGGAGAAUCUGGCUUCCUUUGCUGUGUCUUCAAACAUUCAUCGCUACGGGAGACGUGUCUGCUGGGAUAAAGCACGCCGUGAGCUGUCGCCAUAGCGAUGGAUUGCAGCAGAGGCCCGGGGGAGGAGAUGGCAGAGACCCAACUGGGAGAAGAAAGGGGGAUUUUUGUGGACGAUUGUGCAUUUUUAAUCUGUUACAUACUGUAUUACAACAACAGUUUUCCUUAAACUAAGAAUAAAAAA